rnacentral:rRNA from 1 species
GACGGAGGAUGCAAGCGUUAUCCGGAAUGAUUGGGCGUAAAGCGUUCGCAGGUGGCUGUUCAAGUCUGCUGUCAAAGACCGGGGCUUAACCCUAGAAAGGCAGUGGAAACUGAACGGCCGGAGUGCAGUAGGGGUAGAGGGAAUUCCCAGUGUAGCGGUGAAAUGCGUAGAGAUUGGGAAGAACACCGGUGGCGAAAGCGCUCUGCUGGACUGCAACUGACACUGAGGGACGAAAGCUAGGGGAGCGAAAGGG